UACAGAGGGGGCGAGCGUUGUUCGGAAUUACUGGGCGUAAAGGGCGCGUAGGCGGCCCGCUAAGUCGAACGUGAAAUCCCCAGGCUCAACCUGGGAACUGCGUCCGAUACUGGCAGGCUUGAAUCCGGGAGAGGGAUGUGGAAUUCCAGGUGUAGCGGUGAAAUGCGCAGAUAUCAGGAGGAACACCGGUGGCGAAGGCGCUCUGCUAGGCCGCAACUGACACUGAGGGACGAAAGCUAGGGGAGCGAAUGGG
rnacentral:rRNA from 1 species